rnacentral:rRNA from 1 species
AUUGAACGCUAGCGGGAUGCCUUACACAUGCAAGUCGAACGGAGUGGCGAACGGGUGAGUAAUGUAUCGGAACCUGCCCGGUAGCGGGGGAUAACUACCCGAAAGCGUCGCUAAUACCGCAUACUAUUGGAUCAGCCGAUGUCGGAUUAGCUAGUUGGUGGGGUAACGGCUUACCAAGGCGACGAUCCGUAGCUGGUUUGAGAGGACGACCAGCAACACUGGGACUGAGACACGGUCCAGACGCCUACGGGAGGCAGCAGUGGGGAAUAUUGGACAAUGGGGGAAACCCUGAUCCAGCCAUCCCGCGUGUGCGAUGAAGGCCUUCGGGUUGUAAAGCACUUUUGGCAGGAAAGCGGUACCUUCAGAAUAAGCACCGGCUAACUACGUGCCAGCCGCCGCGGUAAUUC